rnacentral:rRNA from 1 species
UACGUAGGAGACGAGCGUUGUCCGGAGUUACUGGGCGUAAAGGGUGCGCAGGUGGCGGCGCGCGUGGGGGGUGAAAUCGCCCGGCUUAACUGGGCGGGGGCCUUCCAGACGGCGUGGCUUGAGCAGCGGAGGGGGACGUGGAAUUCCCGGUGUAGUGGUGAAAUGCGUAGAUAUCAGGAGGAACACCGGUGGCGAAGGCGGGUCUCUGGGCCGUAACUGACGCUGAGGAGCGAAAGCAUGGGGAGCGAACAGG